rnacentral:rRNA from 1 species
ACGAAGCGGUGGAGCGAUGUGGUUUAAUUCGAUGCAACGCGAAGAACCUUACCUGGGCUUGACAUCUGGGGAAUCCCCGUGGAAACAGGGAGUGCCGUUCGGGAGCCCAGACAGGUGCUGCAUGGCUGUCGUCAGCUCGUGUUGUGAGAUGUUGGGUUAAGUCCCGCAACGAGCGCAACCCCUAUGUUAGUUGCUAGCGAGUAAGGUCGAGCACUCUAGACAGACUGCCGGUGAUAAACCGGAGGAAGGUGGGGAUGACGUCAAAUCAUCAUGCCCCUUAUGUUCUGGGCUACACACGUGCUACAAUGGCCGGUACAAACGGAAGCGAAGCCGCGAGGUGAAGCAAAUCUGAUAAAACCGGUCUCAGUUCGGAUUGCAGGCUGCAACUCGCCUGCAUGAAGUCGGAAUCGCUAGUAAUCGCAGGUCAGCAUACUGCGGUGAAUACGUUCCCGGGCCUU